rnacentral:rRNA from 1 species
GAGAGUUGGUUAGUCAGUAACGAGCGCAACCCUAUCCUUAUUUGCCAGCGCGUAAUGGCGGGAACUAUAGGGAGACUGCCGGUCAAAAACCGGAGGAAGGCGGGGACGAGGUCAAGUCAUCAUGGCCCUUAUGGGUAGGGCUACACACGUGAUACAAUGGGUGGUACAGAGGGUCGCCAAAGCGCGAGCUGGAGCCAAACCCUUAAAACCAUUCUUAGUCCGGAUUGGAGUCUGCAACUCGACUCCAUGAAGUUGGAAUCGCUAGUAAUCGCGAAUCAGAAUGUCGCGGUGAAUACGUUCUCGGGCCUUGUACACACCGCCCGUCACGUCAUGGAAGUGGGUUGCACCAGAAGUGGCUUGUUUAACCUUCGGGAAAACGGUCACCACGGUGUGAUUCACAACUGGGACGAAGUCGUAACAAGGUAGCCCUAGGGGAACCUGGGGCUGGAUCACCUCCUU